GACCUGGCUUACGCCGGUUUAAACUCAGAUCAUGUAAAAUUUUAAAGGUCGAACAGACCUAAUUUAUUAGCUUCUACACCAAUAAUUUCUUUUAAUCCAACAUCGAGGUCGCAAUCUUUUUUUCUAAUAAGAACUUUUUAAAAAAUUACGCUGUUAUCCCUAAGGUAAUUUUAUCUUAUAAUCUAAAAACUUAGGAUCAAAUAUUCAUAAAUUAAUGAUUUUAUAAAAAAAAAGUUUAUUAAAUUUUUAAAUCACCCCAAUUAAAUAUCUCUAAAAAUAAAUUAUUUUAAAUUCUAAAUUAUUAAUUUAUUCUUAUUAUUAUAAAACUCUAUAGGGUCUUCUCGUCUUUUAUAAAAAUUUAAGCUUUUUUACUUAAAAAUAAAUUUCUAAAAAAUUUAAAUAGAGACAGCUAUUUUUUCAUCAAACCUUUCAUACAAGCUUUCAAUUAAAAAACUAAUGAUUAUGCUACCUUUGCACGGUCAAUAUUACCGCAGCCAUUUAAUAUAUGAAUAUAUCAUUGGGCAGGUCAGACCUAAAAUUAUAAUCAAUAAGCC
rnacentral:rRNA from 1 species